rnacentral:misc_RNA from 1 species
GAUGAAGAACCAGCGAAAUGCGAUAAGUAAUGUGAAUUGCAGAAUUCAGUGAAUCAUCGAAUCUUUGAACGCACAUUGCGCCCGCCAGUAUUCUGGCGGGCAUGCCUGUUCGAGCGUCAUUUCAACCAUCAAGCCCUGCUUGCGUUGGGGUCCUGCGGCUGCCCGCAGGCCCUGAAAACCAGUGGCGGGCUCGCUAGUCACACCGAGCGCAGUAAUACAUCUCGCUUUGGGCGUGCGGCGGGUUCUUGCCGUUAAACACCCCCUUUUUACCAAGGUUGACCUCGGAUCAGGUAGGAAUACCCGCUGAACUUAAGCAUAUCAAUAAGCGGAGGA